AUGCUGGAGGUAUCAGAAGUGCGAAUGCUGACAUAAGUAACGAUAAAGCGGGUGAAAAGCCCGCUCGCCGGAAGACCAAGGGUUCCUGUCCAACGUUAAUCGGGGCAGGGUGAGUCGACCCCUAAGGCGAGGCCGAAAGGCGUAGUCGAUGGGAAACAGGUUAAUAUUCCUGUACUUGGUGUUACUGCGAAGGGGGGACGGAGAAGGCUAUGUUGGCCGGGCGACGGUUGUCCCGGUUUAAGCGUGUAGGCUGGUUUUCCAGGCAAAUCCGGAAAAUCAAGGCUGAGGCGUGAUGACGAGGCACUACGGUGCUGAAGCAACAAAUGCCCUGCUUCCAGGAAAAGCCUCUAAGCAUCAGGUAACAUCAAAUCGUACCCCAAACCGACACAGGUGGUCAGGUAGAGAAUACCAAGGCGCUUGAGAGAACUCGGGUGAAGGAACUAGGCAAAAUGGUGCCGUAACUUCGGGAGAAGGCACGCUGAUAUGUAGGUGAAGCGACUUGCUCGUGGAGCUGAAAUCAGUCGAAGAUACCAGCUGGCUGCAACUGUUUAUUAAAAACACAGCACUGUGCAAACACGAAAGUGGACGUAUACGGUGUGACGCCUGCCCGGUGCCGGAAGGUUAAUUGAUGGGGUUAGCGCAAGCGAAGCUCUUGAUCGAAGCCCCGGUAAACGGCGGCCGUAACUAUAACGGUCCUAAGGUAGCGAAAUUCCUUGUCGGGUAAGUUCCGACCUGCACGAAUGGCGUAAUGAUGGCCAGGCUGUCUCCACCCGAGACUCAGUGAAAUUGAACUCGCUGUGAAGAUGCAGUGUACCCGCGGCAAGACGGAAAGACCCCGUGAACCUUUACUAUAGCUUGACACUGAACAUUGAGCCUUGAUGUGUAGGAUAGGUGGGAGGCUUUGAAGUGUGGACGCCAGUCUGCAUGGAGCCGACCUUGAAAUACCACCCUUUAAUGUUUGAUGUUCUAACGUUGACCCGUAAUCCGGGUUGCGGACAGUGUCUGGUGGGUAGUUUGACUGGGGCGGUCUCCUCCUAAAGAGUAACGGAGGAGCACGAAGGUUGGCUAAUCCUGGUCGGACAUCAGGAGGUUAGUGCAAUGGCAUAAGCCAGCUUGACUGCGAGCGUGACGGCGCGAGCAGGUGCGAAAGCAGGUCAUAGUGAUCCGGUGGUUCUGAAUGGAAGGGCCAUCGCUCAACGGAUAAAAGGUACUCCGGGGAUAACAGGCUGAUACCGCCCAAGAGUUCAUAUCGACGGCGGUGUUUGGCACCUCGAUGUCGGCUCAUCACAUCCUGGGGCUGAAGUAGGUCCCAAGGGUAUGGCUGUUCGCCAUUUAAAGUGGUACGCGAGCUGGGUUUAGAACGUCGUGAGACAGUUCGGUCCCUAUCUGCCGUGGGCGCUGGAGAACUGAGGGGGGCUGCUCCUAGUACGAGAGGACCGGAGUGGACGCAUCACUGGUGUUCGGGUUGUCAUGCCAAUGGCACUGCCCGGUAGCUAAAUGCGGAAGAGAUAAGUGCUGAAAGCAUCUAAGCACGAAACUUGCCCCGAGAUGAGUUCUCCCUGACUCCUUGAGAGUCCUGAAGGAACGUUGAAGACGACGACGUUGAUAGGCCGGGUGUGUAAGCGCAGCGAUGCGUUGAGCUAACCGGUACUAAUGAACCGUGAG
rnacentral:rRNA from 1 species